CUCUCCAUUGGACUUCUCUUCACUACACCAAAAAUCACUUUCCACAACACAUGAAGAUAAUACUAUUGAAAAAGUAUUAUAUUUUCUUAGCAUAAGAAGCGGUAAAGGCGCGAACCUUAAAAUGUCUCCCGCCUCUUCUCUCACUAAAAAAAAUGAACCCAAAUUUUCUUUUCUCAUUUCCCUUCUCAAUGCCCCAAAACUGAAAUCCCCAUUUCUCAGCAGAGGUGCGUUUGGGUUUCCCCAAAUCCCCAUUUCUCUCAUUUCCCCAAAUCCCUAAAACACAUUUUCCCCCAAAUUACUCUGCUGCCCCAUGCACGCCGCCUAAAUGCUCACCCCGCCUGUGAAGGUUCUCUCCCCUUCAUCUCUCUAACUUUGCUCUCAGAGCUAUACUAGUAGAGUAUGCUGGUGUUGUCCUUGGAGUAUUGUCUGCACUGCUAUAUGGGAGGAAAGAACAUGUUUGGAAAAAGAUUGGUGGGCUUAUUGCAAUGGCGACGUCUUUCUACUUCUUAUCUCAAGGAUGGGCCAUGGAAACAUAUUCUCCAUUCUAUAUCCUCUGUUUGAUGUCUUGUACUUUUGGAAUUAAUCAAGUUCUUUUAUAACGCUCAAGAAAUGAAAUAAUCAAGCUAAUUGUGUUUUAUUGUCAAAUGGUCCUGAUCCUGAGAUUGAGACUGAAGAAGUUUUGGGCAUGGCGGCAAUGACUGUUCCAAUAUGUGCCAAAAUCUUAUCAGCGCUGAGACGGGUGAUUGGACGGCGUGUUUCACUUAAGGUGUUGAUACAUGGCUGUCUUCAUAUUUAUACACAGCUUAAGUUGAUAGUUUCUAGUUAUCCACUCAAAUAUACUUGAAAGAUACAUGGGUGAUGUUUCCUUUGAACGGGACCAAAGAGAGAAAAUGCACAAGUUUAUUAGCUUCAUAAAGCUUCUAUUUCUCCACAAAGCAACAAA